rnacentral:rRNA from 1 species
GAGUUCUCCCUGAGACUUWAAGUCUCCUGAAGGAACGUUGAAGACGACGACGUUGAUAGGCCGGGUGUGUAAGCGCAGCGAUGCGUUGAGCUAACCGGUACUAAUGAACCGUGAGGCUUAACCUUACAACGCCGAAG